AGAGACAGCAGCAGCCACGGGAAUACGUAGGUGGCGAGCGUUGUCCGGAAUUAUUGGGCGUAAAGGGAGCGCAGGCGGACAUAUAAGUCCAUCUUAAAAGUGCGGGGCUCAACCCCGUGAGGGGAUGGAAACUGUAUGCCUUGAGUGCAGGAGAGGAAAGCGGAAUUCCCAGUGUAGCGGUGAAAUGCGUAGAUAUUGGGAGGAACACCAGUGGCGAAGGCGGCUUUCUGGACUGUAACUGACGCUGAGGCUCGAAAGCCAGGGGAGCGAACGGGAUUAGAUACCCCAGUAGUCCCUGUCUCUUAUACC
rnacentral:rRNA from 1 species